GACGAACGCUGGCGGCAGGCCUAACACAUGCAAGUCGAACGAGUGGCGGACGGGUGAGUAAUGUCUGGGAAACUGCCUGAUGGAUGGGGAUAACUACUGGAAACGGUAGCUAAUCCCGCAUACCAUCAGAUGUGCCCAGAUGGGAUUAGCUUGUAGGUGGGGGAACGGCUCACCAAGGCGACGAUCCCUAGCUGGUCUGAGAGGAUGACCAGCCAAACGGGAACUGAGACACGGGCCAGACUCCUACGGGAGGCAGCAGUGGGGAAUAUUGCACAAUUGGCGCAAGCCGGAUGCAGCCAUGCCGCGUGUAUGAAGAAGGCCUUCGGGUUGGAAAGUACUGUCAGCGGGGAGGCGUUACCCGGAAAAGAAGCACCGGCUAACUCCGUGCCAGCAGGCGCGGUAAUAC
rnacentral:rRNA from 1 species